AGUGAACGCUGGCGGUAGGCCUAACACAUGCAAGUCGAACGGCAGCACAUUAAGAGCUUGCUCGUACGGGUGGCGAGUGGCGGACGGGUGAGGAAUACAUCGGAAUCUACUUUUUCGUGGGGGAUAACGUAGGGAAACUUACGCUAAUACCGCAUACGACCUACGGGUGAAAGCAGGGGAUCUUCGGACCUUGCGCGAUUGAAUGAGCCGAUGUCGGAUUAGUUAGUUGGCGGGGUAAAGGCCCACCAAGGCGACGAUCCGUAGCUGGUCUGAGAGGAUGAUCAGCCACACUGGAACUGAGACACGGUCCAGACUCCUACGGGAGGACGCAGUGGGGAAUAUUGGACAAUGGGCGCAAGCCUGAUCCAGCCAUACCGCGUGGGUGAAGAAGGCCUUCGGGUGGUAAAGCACUUUUGUUGGGAAAGAAAAGCAGCAGGUUAAUACCCCGCUGUUCUGACGGUACCCAAAGAAUAAGCACCGGCUAACUUCGUG
rnacentral:rRNA from 1 species